GGCCCGGUGGUGCAGUGGUUAGCACUGCUACCUCACAGCCAGAAGGUCAGGGGUCCAAAUCUGGCCUGGGACC